rnacentral:misc_RNA from 1 species
AAAAGAGAAAUACUGAUUAAACUCUAUACUGGAACUGUCCAGAUAAUUGGAGAUUAGAGGAAUUUUACUUUGCAAAAUUUGAAAGUUGAUGGGGUUUUAUGUUACAUUUUUAAGUUGAGGGACUGUAAUGUUACAACUAGAUAAGUUCAGGGACAGUUGUCAAAAUUUAUCCGUUAAUGGACCAAAUUCUUUUUAAAUAAUGGAGUCUUUGGAAAAGCAAGUGCAAGCUCAUAGCCAAGCUAAUAGGGAAUUACUACUCAGAAUGCAAAAGAACAAGUAAUCAAAAAACCAAAACAAAAGGGGUUUAGAGAUCCCUCAAAAUAUUAGAGAAUCCAGGCAAACAAAAAAAAAAUCCUUAUUAAUAUCAUGAAAUGAUUGUGCUCCGUAAUAUGAUUUCUCAAAACACUGGAAU